rnacentral:misc_RNA from 1 species
CUGGGAGAAAAAAGAAGAAAAAGCACCUAAUUACCCUUUUCAAUUAAGUGAUGGUUACCUACCUUCAUCAAUAGAAGAAAUAGACAUUGAAUUUCUAGAAUAUUCCUCAACAAAACUAUUGCCCCCAGAAACUCUGGCAAUGCCAGUGCUUGUGCUGCUAACAUUAGUAUUAGUAUUAGCAUUAGUGUUAGUAUUAGUUUUAGUGAAAGCAGAAGUGGAACUAGUUGUCCAACGUCCUCGACGACCUUGAGUUCCAGGUUUACCAGGUUUAGGCAAAGUAAAUGAGUCGCUCAAAAGCAUGAGAUGAACUGAGUUCAUAUCAGGCCUAUCUGCCACGGUUUGUUGACAGCAU